AGUCUGGACCUAGCUGUAAAGCGAAGUAAAAGUUUCAUGAUGAAAUACUUAGCUCUCGUUGUAGCGCUCGUUGUUGUCAGUUACAUUCAUCUAUCAGAAUGUCAAUCAGAGUUAACGGAGGAUGAACCCAAAUUUCGAACGCUAAUUUUGGGGCUAACUAUUAUUAGAGGUGUUCUGAGGGUCGCACAGGAAUUCCUUAAAAUUUUAAAUAAAUUUAUUCAAGAAGGCGAUUGGGCGCCAUUGAUUACGGAUUUAGUGGAGAUGAUAAAAGUUUCCACGAAUGUUAUUACCGUUUGUGUAAGUGAAAAUUUAUUGACGUGCAUCAAGGUGAAAUAUGAAGGAUUUAAAUCGCUGAUUUCCCUGACAAUACAAAUGACUAUGAAAAUUCAAGGAGUUUGUGCAUCGGGAUGUAAGAACGAAACAUCAAGCAUCUUUACAAAAUAUUUCAAUAUUUUUAACACGAUUUCCCAAAAACUGACUAUAAAUAUGGGAAGAAUGCCUACUACUACAUAAUUAAAAACCAUAAAAACUACUAAAAUUACAUCUAUGGUUGAAUUUAAAAAUCAUGUAAAACGAGAGUUGAAACAAUUCUUACCAGUAAAAAGAUUUUCAAUCAAUUUUAUGAAAACACUUGCUCCACCAUCAAA